CUACGUGCCAGCAGCCGCGGUAAUACGUAGGGGGCUAGCGUUAUCCGGAUUUACUGGGCGUAAAGGGUGCGUAGGUGGUCCUUCAAGUCGGUGGUUAAAGGCUACGGCUCAACCGUAGUAAGCCGCCGAAACUGGAGGACUUGAGUGCAGGAGAGGAAAGUGGAAUUCCCAGUGUAGCGGUGAAAUGCGUAGAUAUUGGGAGGAACACCAGUAGCGAAGGCGGCUUUCUGGACUGCAACUGACACUGAGGCACGAAAGCGUGGGUAGCAAACAGGAUUAGAUACCCUGGUAGUCCACGCUGUAAACGAUGAGUACUAGGUGUCGGGGGUUACCCCCCUCGGUGCCGCAGCUAACGCAUUAAGUACUCCGCCUGGGGAGUACGCACGCAAGUGUGAAACUCAAAGGAAUUGACGGGGACCCGCACAAGUAGCGGAGCAUGUGGUUUAAUUCGAAGCAACGCGAAGAACCUUACCUAAGCUUGAC
rnacentral:rRNA from 1 species